rnacentral:lncRNA from 1 species
UCGAGUCGGUGAUGCCAUCCAACCAUCUCAUCCUCUGUUGUGCCUUUCUCCUUCGAGAAGUGUUGGCGCAAAGAUUGGAAAGCUGCCUCUGAGACUCUGAAGGUUUACCUGCUGAUACUCGCUCCUUCCCAGUAACCCUCCAUCCCAAGGGGAGCCCCAGAAAGAACACCAGGGGGGCCUCCCUGCUGCCGCAGAACCACCUCACCCGCCACUCCAGCACUAAGUCAGAGCUGCCUGAGGAAGACUCCGCACACGUUUCCCUCGAGCUGGUCUGCAGGCCCCUCUGGCUGGGACCCUGUCCUGGGAGCUGCCCGUCUGCAAACAGAGAGCCCACAGUGCCUCGGGAAAAAUUGGCUGAAUAAAAGAUGCGUUGGAGGGAAGGACAGGAGAUACAGGAACGAGGAUGGAGCAGAGCAAGAUGGGGUUGAAGGAGCGUCCACAGAAGCUUCUGUGCAGGCCAGGCUGAGAGGUCACUACCCAGAAGGCUGAGGGUCCCCGAUGCUGGCCGGGCUCCAGAGACUCCUGAACUUGUGGAUGUGGAGUUUUUCCUCCUCCAGUUUUGUGAUGAAUAAAUUCACUUGUCUCCCCA